AAAAAAGAUGGGAAUGAGGUUCUCCCGCGGCAGGACGCAGCUUGCGCCUUGCCGGAACCGCCGGCACUUCCGACUGAUGACUUCUCAUGCGCC
rnacentral:ncRNA from 20 species